rnacentral:rRNA from 1 species
GCUCAGAAUGAACGCUGGCGGCAUGCCUAACACAUGCAAGUCGAACGAAUGCCCUUCGGGGUGUUAGUGGCGCACGGGUGCGUAACGCGUGGGAAUCUGCCCUUGGGUUCGGAAUAACAGUUGGAAACGACUGCUAAUACCGGAUGAUGACGUAAGUCCAAAGAUUUAUCGCCCAGGGAUGAGCCCGCGUAGGAUUAGGUAGUUGGUGUGGUAAAGGCGCACCAAGCCGACGAUCCUUAGCUGGUCUGAGAGGAUGAUCAGCCACACUGGGACUGAGACACGGCCCAGACUCCUACGGGAGGCAGCAGUGGGGAAUAUUGGACAAUGGGCGAAAGCCUGAUCCAGCAAUGCCGCGUGAGUGAUGAAGGCCUUAGGGUUGUAAAGCUCUUUUACCCGGGAUGAUAAUGACAG